CAUUCACGGAGAGUUUGAUCCUGGCUCAGGACGAACGCUGGCGGCGUGCUUAACACAUGCAAGUCGAACGAUGAAGCCCUUCGGGGUGGAUUAGUGGCGAACGGGUGAGUAACACGUGGGCAAUCUGCCCUGCACUCUGGGACAAGCCCUGGAAACGGGGUCUAAUACCGGAUAUGACCGUCCAUCGCAUGGUGGAUGGUGUAAAGCUCCGGCGGUGCAGGAUGAGCCCGCGGCCUAUCAGCUAGUUGGUGAGGUAGUGGCUCACCAAGGCGACGACGGGUAGCCGGCCUGAGAGGGCGACCGGCCACACUGGGACUGAGACACGGCCCAGA
rnacentral:rRNA from 1 species